rnacentral:rRNA from 1 species
GACGGAGGAUGCAAGCGUUAUCCGGAAUGAUUGGGCGUAAAGCGUCCGCAGGUGGCAGUUCAAGUCUGCUGUCAAAGACCGGGGCUUAACUUCGGAAAGGCAGUGGAAACUGAAGCGCUAGAGUGCGGUAGGGGUAGAGGGAAUUCCCGGUGUAGCGGUGAAAUGCGUAGAGAUCGGGAAGAACAUCGGUGGCGAAAGCGCUCUACUGGACCGCAACUGACACUCAGGGACGAAAGCUAGGGGAGCGAAUGGG